GGUGUUAUAGUGGAGAGGUUAUCCCGUCAAGAUCAACUUUCCGAAUCCCAGGUUCGAACCCUGGGAGCACCC